AAUUUCUCAUUCAACCAACGCAAAUAAACAAAAUUAUAUAACUCAGUUGUAAGUGCAAUACUGGAGAGCACAAGAAGUUAUUGAAUUAAUACAAACUUACAAAAUGAUAUUAAUACAUCUGGAGUUUCUAAGCUACAGCCGCGUUCAGGUAAGAAUUUGAUCCUUAUGCAGCAGUGACGGCUUCUUCAGUUUUCUUUUUUUCUUCCUUCAAUUUCUUCCAGUUCUCUGCAUUGUCUAUUAUUUCACCAGUUUUGAUGAGGUAGCGAACUCGUUGUCCAUUUUCCAGGAUUUUAUGACCCACCCGACUUGCUACAUUCUUUUCUUUCGAGAAAAGCAUCACAUUCGAGCUGUGUAUGGCUCCUUCUACCUGGAAUAUGAAGUUUAAAAUGUUUAUUUGUAAUCAAAUGAAACUAGCAAGCAAGG
rnacentral:lncRNA from 1 species